rnacentral:rRNA from 1 species
GUGCACAGGGUGCAGGACGGUGCUGUAAUACGGGGGGGGGAUGGGUUAAGCGAGAUUACUGUGCGGAAAGCGAGCGUAGUGGGAGUGAUAAGGCAGAUGUGAAAUCCCCGGGGGUAACCUGGGAACUGCAUCGGAUACUGUUAAGCUAGAGUAGGUGAGAGGGAAGUAGAAUUCCAGGUGUAGCGGUGAAAUGCGUAGAGAUCUGGAGGAAUACCGAUGGCGAAGGCAGCUUCCUGGCAUCAUACUGACACUGAGGCUCGAAAGCGUGGGUAGCAAACAGGAUUAGAUACCCCAGUAGUC